AAAUGCUGUUUUUGUCUCCCUGGAAUCGUGUCUUACAAGGAUAAAACAUUGUAUAAACUUUCGGAAGCGUUGGAUUAUUGUUAUAAAAUACCAAUUUAGGAAAAUUUUUCGCACAUGUUCCAGCGCUAUUGUCAAUCAAAAGCUUUCAGCAUUGAAAAUAUAUAUACAUGAGUUCAAUACGCUGGAACGUACUGUUGUUGCCAUAAACUUGGACAAUUCCUUAAGCUCAAUAUUGAAACAGUGGAAUUUAUUAAAAUGCACUACUGGUGUUCUUCAUGUGCACUUCAAUCUCCUGAAUUCAGUACAACCCAACCUUACGAUCAAAGGAAACCUUAACGCAUAUGCUGCGAAUAUAGAAAGCGUUAAGUCUGACAAAACUUUUUCGUUAUUAUUGGAAUAUAGAUAUCAAAAACAUGCAGAAUCUAGCUGCAAGUUGACAUCAACAACAAUUUAUAUAACGGAAAUAAUAUAUAAUGAGGCGCUAUUCCUAGAUACUAUUUACAAAAACAAACUGAAUCAUAUAUUAGUUCCUGCUUAUAUCAAAAACUUGUACAUGACGACUGCCAGUUUAAGAAUGGAAACAAUUAAUAUGAUAGCUAUCUCACAAAAUCAAUUUUUCUGUUCGGGUAGCGUAUUGGCAAAAGAUUACAUGCAAUUAAACGCAAUUGAAUCAGACAUCCUUAAUGUGCUGCAUUUGAAAGGAAAAGUAUUAAAGCCUCAAAAGAUUUCCAAUUUCUUUGUGUCUGCUGCGAUUAUUGAUCAUUCAAACCUAGACGGUAUGCGUAGAGUGGAGCAUCUAUUCGUGUCUGAUAAUUUAAACAGAGUACGACUGGGAGCUUUAUUGAACCAACUAUAUCAUGCCGCUAAACAAUCUCUUAUUAUUGGUAACACGACACCCUUUGGGAAUACAUCUAACAAUUAUUUGCGGACAUAAUUUUGGAAUCUAUUCUGUUUGAAGAGGACA